rnacentral:rRNA from 1 species
AGCAGUAGCCACGGUAAUACGGAGGGUGCAAGCGUUAUCCGGAUUUAUUGGGUUUAAAGGGUCCGUAGGCGGAUCUGUAAGUCAGUGGUGAAAUCUCACAGCUUAACUGUGAAACUGCCAUUGAUACUGCAGGUCUUGAGUAAAUUUGAAGUGUCUGGAAUAAGUAGUGUAGCGGUGAAAUGCAUAGAUAUUACUUAGAACACCAAUUGCGAAGGCAGGUCACUAAGAUUUAACUGACGCUGAUGGACGAAAGCGUGGGGAGCGAACAGGAUUAGAUACCCCGGUAGUCCCUGUCUCUUAUAA